rnacentral:rRNA from 1 species
UACUAGAGUAGCACUCGCAUAUCAAUAAGCGGAGGAAAAGAAACUAACAAGGGAUUCCCCUAGUAACGGCGAGUGAAGCGGGAAGAGCUCAAAUUUGAAAUCUUAAAGGGUUUCCCUUUACGAAUUGUAGUUUAAAGAAGUGUUUUCUGUUGAGGUUUUGGUAAAAGUUCUUUGGAAUAGGACAUCAUAGAGGGUGAGAAUCCCGUAUUUGACCUUUACUUUCAACUUUGUGAUACACUUUCAAAGAGUCGGAUUGUUUGGGAAUGCAGUCCAAAAUGGGUGGUAAAUUUCAUCUAAAGCUAAAUAUUGGCGAGAGACCGAUAGCGAACAAGUACCGUGAGGGAAAGAUGAAAAGAACUUUGAAAAGAGAGUUAAACAGUACGUGAAAUUGUCAAAAGGGAAGCGUUUGACACCAGUGUUGUUUUUCUGAAAAUCAAUUAAAGAACUGUUUAUGCUAAGCUGUUUAGACUUUAUCAGCUAUCUGUUUAGUUUUAGGCUUUUCUUUAAUGCACUUUUCAGUUAACAAGUCAACAUCAAUUUCUUUUGCUGUAAAAAAGCUUGAGGAAGGUGGCUUGAGAUUCGUCUUAAGUGUUUAUAGCCUCUUGCCUAUGCAGUCGGAGAGAUUGAGGUCUGCAGCGUAGAUCCUUCGGGGCUAAAUGCAUUUGUGCUAAGUUAUAGCAUUUUAUAGACAACUUGUUGACUAUGAUUUGUCUUGUAGCUUACUCGCUUAUGUUAUUUUACCUACGCUUAGGAUGUUGAACUACUGAGACAUAGA